AACCUAUUAGCUCAAAUGGUAGAGCACUAUGCAGAUGCAUAGGGAUGUAGGUUCGAUUCCUACAUAGGUUG
rfam:Spinacia oleracea cultivar SynViroflay scaffold20664.con0004.1, whole genome shotgun sequence.